rnacentral:rRNA from 1 species
CAGCCGCCGCGGUAACACGAAGGGUGCAAGCGUUAAUCGGAAUUACUGGGCGUAAAGCGUGCGUAGGCGGUGAGUUAAGUCUGCUGUGAAAUCCCCGGGCUCAACCUGGGAAUGGCAGUGGAUACUGGCUCGCUAGAGUGUGUCAGAGGAUGGUGGAAUUCCCGGUGUAGCGGUGAAAUGCGUAGAGAUCGGGAGGAACAUCAGUGGCGAAGGCGGCCAUCUGGGACAACACUGACGCUGAGGCACGAAAGCGUGGGGAGCAAACAGGAUUAGAUACCCGCGUAGUCCCUGUCUCUUAUAC